CUGCGCCCGCGCUGGCGCGCGCUGCCCCAAGCGCUAAGCUCGGCUGGCUGGCUGGAGGCGCCGCGCCGCCUAACCCGGAGCGCCUCUCUGCGUCCCACCGACUCCAGAUUCUGCCCGCACUGCCUCGGGGCAGCCAAGCCGCUCGGCCCACAAUUGUGGUCUUUUGCUAAAAGUAAACGAAAGUGGCGUCGGUUUCGGAGCGCCAAAUCGAAGGGAGUGCGGCCGACGAGCGGGUAACCCGCAGCUGGGUCCUGCGCUCCUCGCUGGCCUCCGGGGCGGCCGUUGAAAACUAGCUCCUUCCUACCCGUUUGAUCAGAACGGCAGCGGGUGCGGGCAGGAACCAGGCUGGGGUCGCAGAGGCGGCAGGACCCGGGCCGCUGAGAAGCUCACCGCGAAGUUGAAGGCAGCGUCUGCAGGCGCAGGAAGAGCCGAGGCAGCGGGCGGGCGGGCGAGCGCUCUGUGGCGGACAGUGGACGCUGCUGAAGAAGUGGCCAGCUACCUGGAGGAGCCACUGUUCAUGCUCAGGGAUGCAUGUCUGGAUGUUGCAAGGUUGCUUGUGGCCAAGUGCACAAAGAAGACUUCUCCCCUGGACUCAACACACACAGCUCAGUGUCAUCCUAAAAACCAGAGGCCUGCAUCCGGAACCAGAACCCCUCAUGUGACAACGGGUGGCCCAAACUACCUCCUGCUGAAGCUGUAAGUAGGUAGGGGUGUAGGGGUCAGGGUGGAGUUCCUCUGGGGAGGGGGAGCAGGGGACACACUCGGGACCUAUGCUACUCACUACAUUGUUUUAUUUAGUAUCUGAACUUUAAUAAAAGUUCUUAACUUCUCUGUGGGAUGGGCACAGAGGCAUGGAAAAGGAUGGCCCAUGUAGCCCAUCCUGGAAGCGGCCUGUGACACCAGCUGUCAGGCGUGAACACAGCCCUGCUUGGCCCCACCUCCCUGUGCUCCCUAGGACCCAGAGCCCCUCUCCCCCUGACCCCAGUACCUGACUGAACCGGCGUGGCCAACCACUGGACUUGCUCGAAGUUGCCUG
rnacentral:lncRNA from 1 species